UACGUAGGUGGCAAGCGUUGUCCGGAUUUAUUGGGCGUAAAGGGUGCGUAGGCGGUUUGGUAAGUCUUAUGUGAAAUCUACAGGCUCAACUUGUAGUCUGCAUGAGAAACUGCCGGGCUUGAGUAUGGGAGAGGUGAGUGGAAUUCCUGGUGUAGCGGUGAAAUGCGUAGAUAUCAGGAGGAACACCUGUGGCGAAAGCGGCUCACUGGACCAUAACUGACGCUGAUGCACGAAAGCUAGGGGAGCAAACAGG
rnacentral:rRNA from 1 species